UACGUAGAAGACUAGUGUUAUUCAUCUUUAAUAGGUUUAAAGGGUACCUAGACGGUAUAAUUAGUCUAAAAUAAGAUACGGUUAUACUAGAGUUAUAUAUGAGGAGGUGAGUAUUUAUGGAGUAGAGUUGAAAUUUGUUGAUCCCAUAACGACUGGUAUCGGCGAAAGCAACCUUUUAUCUAAUAACUGACGUUGAGGGACAAAGGCUCGGGUAACGAACAGG
rnacentral:rRNA from 1 species